ensembl:lncRNA uncharacterized LOC111939825
AUGGCCACCCCAAUGGCCACCCCGGUGGUCACCCUGGCUCCCAGGCAGCCCUCCCUGCUCCAGCUCUUCAGGGGGCUCUUGAGGGUCCCAUGGUGGAUACAGAAGCCCAGAGUGGAGGAGCUGGGGCCAGCUGAGGGGUGCAGCAGCCCAGGGAAGCCCCCAAACUGGGAGCACUGGGAGGAUGGCCAGGGGAAAAGCCACCUGGCCACUUGGGCUCCCUGCUGUCCUUCCCCUCUCCAGCUCCUCAGGGGGCUCUGGGGGCUGCUGGGGAGCCUGUGGGGGACACAGCAGCCCCGGGAGGAGGAGCUGGGGGCAGCUGAGGGCUGCAGCCACCCAGGGCAGCGCUGGGAUGGUGCCAGCAGGGAGAGCAUGGAGUCACUGCUGGGGAAGCUGGAGGAGCUCAGCAUCAGAGGCUGCCUGGUGCUCAGCACCAGUGACCAGGAGCUGCUGGGGGACAGCCACAGAGCCCAGCAGGCAGCAGGCAGCCAGGAGGGGACGGCCCCACCGGGAUAUUCCAGAGGCAAAGCUCUGCGGAUGAAUGGGCUCCCAGCAGCUCCGGGUGCCGAUGGAGAAGGAGUUGCCAGCCCCGAGCCAAUGCUCUCCGUGGACUCCGAUGCUGAAUGGGAGAAGCAGCAGCUCCUGGAAGCAGGUGAAGGUGCAAGGCCCCCAAAAGCAGAGAUGUCCCCAGGGAAGAGGUUCUGGAAUGCCAGCAGACAGCAAAGGGCUCCAAAUGAGGCUCCUGCCCUGGGAAGUGUGAUGGGAAGGGAGGAGGAGUCACUUCUGAGUGGGGCUGCUGCUGGCCCUGCAAACCCCUGGGAUGUGCUGCUGGCCAGGAGCAGAAGCUUUUGGCUGCUUUGGGAGAAGCUGGGCACAGCUGGGAUCAGGUGGAACCUCUGGAAAAGGCUGAGUGUCAGGUCCAUAAAUCCCUUUCAGAAAAGCUGGAGCCUCCUGCAGACAAACCCAGCACGUUUCAGUCGCGCUUUUUUAAUGAAAUGAGCCCAGUUUGGAGUCUCCUCUGUGAGAAG